UGGUCUCCCUGCCAACGUGAGCGGCAGC
rnacentral:sRNA from 1 species